rnacentral:rRNA from 2 species
CACCUUGAGGAAGAACCCGGGGGUCCUUAAUUAAGUUGUCAAGUAAACGGCUCACUCAAGCUCGUCACGCAUGGCGGACUUGGACGGGUAAUCGGCCAAAAUGGGACUGAGACUCGCCCCAGAUUCCUACGGGAGGCAGCAGUAGGGAAUCUUCCACAAUGGACGAAAGUCUGAUGGAGCAACGCCGCCUGAGUGAAGAAGGUUUUCGGAUCGUAAAACUCUGUUGGUGGAGAAGAAUGUAUCUGAUAGUAACUGAUCAGGUAGUGACGGUAUCCAACCAGAAAGCCAGGGCUAAUUACGUGCCAGCAGCCGCGGUAAUACGUAGGUGGCAAGCGUUGUCCGGAUUUAUUGGGCGUAAAGCGAGCGCAGGCGGUUUCUUAAGUCUGAUGUGAAAGCCUUCGGCUCAACCGAAGAAGUGCAUCGGAAACUGGGAAACUUGAGUGCAGAAGAGGACAGUGGAACUCCAUGUGUAGCGGUGAAAUGCGUAGAUAUAUGGAAGAACACCAGUGGCGAAGGCGGCUGUCUGGUCUGUAACUGACGCUGAGGCUCGAAAGCAUGGGUAGCAAACAGGAUUAGAUACCCUGGUAGUCCAUGCCGUAAACGAUGAGUGCUAGGUGUUGGAGGGUUUCCGCCCUUCAGUGCCGCAGCUAACGCAUUAAGCACUCCGCCUGGGGAGUACGACCGCAAGGUUGAAACUCAAAGGAAUUGACGGGGGCCCGCACAAGCGGUGGAGCAUGUGGUUUAAUUCGAAGCAACGCGAAGAACCUUACCAGGUCUUGACAUCCUUUGACCACUCUAGAGAUAGAGCUUUCCCUUCGGGGACAAAGUGACAGGUGGUGCAUGGUUGUCGUCAGCUCGUGUCGUGAGAUGUUGGGUUAAGUCCCGCAACGAGCGCAACCCUUAUUACUAGUUGCCAGCAUUUAGUUGGGCACUCUAGUGAGACUGCCGGUGACAAACCGGAGGAAGGUGGGGACGACGUCAAAUCAUCAUGCCCCUUAUGACCUGGGCUACACACGUGCUACAAUGGAUGGUACAACGAGUUGCGAGACCGCGAGGUUUAGCUAAUCUCUUAAAACCAUUCUCAGUUCGGAUUGUAGGCUGCAACUCGCCUACAUGAAGCCGGAAUCGCUAGUAAUCGCGGAUCAGCAUGCCGCGGUGAAUACGUUCCCGGGCCUUGUACACACCGCCCGUCACACCAUG